rnacentral:misc_RNA from 1 species
CUUCUGGGAUCAAGAAGG